CAGGCUUAACACAUGCAAGUCGAGGGGCAGCAUGGUCUUAGCUUGCUAAGGCCGAUGGCGACCGGCGCACGGGUGAGUAACACGUAUCCAACCUGCCGUCUACUCUUGGACAGCCUUCUGAAAGGAAGAUUAAUACAAGAUGGCAUCAUGAGUCCACAUGUUCACAUGAUUAAAGGUAUUCCGGUAGACGAUGGGGAUGCGUUCCAUUAGAUAGUAGGCGGGGUAACGGCCCACCUAGUCUUCGAUGGAUAGGGGUUCUGAGAGGAAGGUCCCCCACAUUGGAACUGAGACACGGUCCAAACUCCUACGGGAGGCAGCAGUGAGGAAUAUUGGUCAAUGGGCGAGAGCCUGAACCAGCCAAGUAGCGUGAAGGAUGACUGCCCUAUGGGUUGUAAACUUCUUUUAUAAAGGAAUAAAGUCGGGUAUGCAUACCCGUUUGCAUGUACUUUAUGAAUAAGGAUCGGCUAACUCCGUGCCAGCAGCCGCGGUAAUACGGAGGAUCCGAGCGUUAUCCGGAUUUAUUGGGUUUAAAGGGAGCGUAGAUGGAUGUUUAAGUCAGUUGUGAAAGUUUGCGGCUCAACCGUAAAAUUGCAGUUGAUACUGGAUAUCUUGAGUGCAGUUGAGGCAGGCGGAAUUCGUGGUGUAGCGGUGAAAUGCUUAGAUAUCACGAAGAACUCCGAUUGCGAAGGCAGCCUGCUAAGCUGCAACUGACAUUGAGGCUCGAAAGUGUGGGUAUCAAACAGGAUUAGAUACCCUGGUAGUCCACACGGUAAACGAUGAAUACUCGCUGUUUGCGAUAUACUGCAAGCGGCCAAGCGAAAGCGUUAAGUAUUCCACCUGGGGAGUACGCCGGCAACGGUGAAACUCAAAGGAAUUGACGGGGGCCCGCACAAGCGGAGGAACAUGUGGUUUAAUUCGAUGAUACGCGAGGAACCUUACCCGGGCUUAAAUUGCAGAUGAAUUACGGUGAAAGCCGUAAGCCGCAAGGCAUCUGUGAAGGUGCUGCAUGGUUGUCGUCAGCUCGUGCCGUGAGGUGUCGGCUUAAGUGCCAUAACGAGCGCAACCCUUGUUGUCAGUUACUAACAGGUUCUGCUGAGGACUCUGACAAGACUGCCAUCGUAAGAUGUGAGGAAGGUGGGGAUGACGUCAAAUCAGCACGGCCCUUACGUCCGGGGCUACACACGUGUUACAAUGGGGGGUACAGAGGGCCGCUACCACGCGAGUGGAUGCCAAUCCCAAAAACCUCUCUCAGUUCGGACUGGAGUCUGCAACCCGACUCCACGAAGCUGGAUUCGCUAGUAAUCGCGCAUCAGCCACGGCGCGGUGAAUACGUUCCCGGGCCUUGUACACACCGCCCGUCAAGCCAUGGGAGCCGGGGGUACCUGAAGUGCGUAACCGCGAGGAGCGCCCUAGGGUAAAACUGGUGACUGGGGC
rnacentral:rRNA from 1 species